GAUUCUUGGUCAUUUUAGAGGAAGUAAAAGUCGUAACAAGGUUUCCGUAGGUGAACCUGCGGAAGGAUCAUUACAAGUUGACCCUGGACCGUGUACAAGUCUCCUGCUGGACCGUGUACAAGUCUCCUGAAUUGGCGGGCCGCGGUCCUCCGCGGCCGCCCCCCUCCCCGGGGGGGUGGCCAGCGCCCGCCAGAGGACCAUCAAACUCCAGUCAGUAAACGAUGCAGUCUGAAAAACAUUUAAUAAACUAAAACUUUCAACAACGGAUCUCUUGGUUCUGGCAUCGAUGAAGAACGCAGCGAAAUGCGAUAAGUAAUGUGAAUUGCAGAAUUCAGUGAAUCAUCGAAUCUUUGAACGCACAUUGCGCCCUUUGGUAUUCCGAAGGGCAUGCCUGUUCGAGCGUCAUUACAACCCUCAAGCUCUGCUUGGUAUUGGGCACCGUCCUUUGCGGGCGCGCCUCAAAGACCUCGGCGGUGGCGUCUUGCCUCAAGCGUAGUAGAACAUACAUCUCGCUUCGGAGCGCAGGGCGUCGCCCGCCGGACGAACCUUUUGAACUUUUCUCAAGGUUGACCUCGGAUCAGGUAGGGAUACCCGCUGAACUUAAGCAUAUCAAUAAGCGGAGGAAAU
rnacentral:sRNA from 1 species